rnacentral:rRNA from 1 species
AUACAGAGGGUGCAAGCGUUAAUCGGAAUGACUGGGCGUAAAGGGCGUGUAGGUGGUUGAAUACGUUAGAUGUGAAAUACCCGGGCUUAACCUGGGGAGGUCAUCUAAUACGGUUUAACUAGAGUACAGUAGAGGAAAGUAGAAUUUCCGGUGUAGCAGUGAAAUGCGUAGAUAUCGGAAGGAAUACCAGUGGCGAAGGCGGCUUUCUGGACUGUAACUGACACUGAGGCGCGAAAGCGUGGGGAGCAAACAGGAUUAGAAACCCUAGUAGUCC